rnacentral:rRNA from 1 species
GACAGAGGUGCCAAGCGUUAGGCGGAAUCACUGGGCUUAAAGCGUGUGUAGGCGGAUGCCUAAGUACCUUGUGAAAUCCCGCGGCUCAACCGUGGAACUGCCUUAGAUACUGACGGCCUCGAGGGAGGUAGGGGCGAGCGGAACUCUCAGUGGAGCGGUGAAAUGCGUUGAUAUUGGGAGGAACUCCGGUGGCGAAAGCGGCUCGCUGGACCUUUUCUGACGCUGAGGCGCGAAAGCUAGGGGAGCAAACGGG